CUGCACUUAAAGUGAGUUUUAACCCUAGCAAAAAUGCAAGUGCGUUUAUAUUUGAUCUAUUUUCUCAUUGCACGUCUUACCACUGAAGGCUGCAGAAGUAAAGACUAUGUAAACAUGGACAUUACUGCAUACGUCGGAGACUCUUUACUGCUGCCUUGCUCCUGUGAUGGCUUUUCUAAACAUGCUCAUAGAUUUCGCUGGAGUAUAGAUUACAUAAGCGGUGGCUCAGCAUACAUAAGUUCGGAUGGUUUAAACAAAAUUAGAAGACCAGUUCAGCUGUUUAACAAUCACUCUCCAGGGAAUCUCUCUGUAUUAAUACCACACCUUACUGAAGAGGAUGGAGGAGAGUACAUGUGUAAUGUCAGGGAAUAUGACAUGGUCAUGAUUCGGGCAAUUUUAAAAGUGACUGUCAUCCCAAAACCAACAACCACAACCAUCCAACCAACAACUUCAUAUGUUGGUGCAGCUCCACAUGUGAACCAGUCUCUGACCUACUUCCCCUUUGCUUUGGUGGCUACUUUUAUAUUCCACAUUGUGUUUGCCGUACGGUUUCUUUUCAAGAAGCGCAAAGAUCCUGCCAGAGUGCAAUACAGCACUGCCAAUCAGGAAGAAACAGUAAGUCUGUAGAAGAAGAAAAGCAGCGCCCAUAAAGAGACCACCUACUAACCUACUAUGCGCUUUAUAAUAGCAAAUGUACUGUAGAUCAUGAAAAGUCAAUGUAAACCCAUUUUAUUUCCACUUUGAACAAAUUCUGUCACUUAUUUUGAUAUCAG
rnacentral:lncRNA from 1 species